AUUUGAGAUCAAUUAGCAUCUAUUAGUUUUCUUUCUGUAGAAUGAGCAUCUAUAAGUCCGAAAUAGGAUUCAACUCUGUGCCAACUUCUAUGUUAAGAAGUAAUUCAUAACAGUCUGGAUGGUUGUUAUUUUUAUUCCCCCUAUUCUUGCUUCUUUUCUCGUUUGUGCUACACAUAAAGAUACCUAACCUCUUACUUAGUGUUGUACACAUAUAUUUAUCUCCCUUUUUUCUCGAAACAUAUGUAUGUUUCUUUCAUUCCUUGAUUUUCCUCAAAAUAAAACAAAACAAAACAAAAACUAGGACAUAAUCAUUUCUUUACUAUGCAAAGUGCAAACAAUAUGCAGCCAGCAGCGGCUUCAAUGAUACAAGGCUGUAGAAAGUAUUACUUCCCAUACUAAUAUCCAUGCGAAAGUCAUUCUGCACUUGGUUUUUAUUUUGUCAAAGAAAAUUGGACUCAGUUGAUAAUGACAAAGGUGUUUAUAGGGUUGUAUCCACCUUUGCAGGCCAUAUACUAUAGCUACACAAGAGAGAGAGAGAGAGAGAGAGAGAGAGAGAGAGAGAG
rnacentral:lncRNA from 1 species